UACGUAGGUGACCAGCGUUGUCCGGAUUUACUGGGCGUAAAGAGCGCGCAGGCGGUCGUUCAAGUCGAGUGUGAAAGCCCCCGGCUCAACUGGGGAGGGUCACUCGAUACUGAUCGACUCGAAGGCAGGAGAGGGAAGCGGAAUUCCCGGUGUAGUGGUGAAAUGCGUAGAUAUCGGGAGGAACACCAGGUGGCGAAGGCGGCUUCCUGGCCUGUUCUUGACGCUGAGGCGCGAAAGCUAGGGGAGCAAACGGG
rnacentral:rRNA from 1 species